rnacentral:rRNA from 1 species
UACGGAGGGUGCAAGCGUUAUCCGGAUUCACUGGGUUUAAAGGGUGCGUAGGUGGGCAAGUAAGUCAGUGGUGAAAUCUCCGGGCUUAACCCGGAAACUGCCAUUGAUACUAUUUGUCUUGAAUACUGUGGAGGUCAGCGGAAUACGUCAUGUAGCGGUGAAAUGCUUAGAUAUGACAUAGAACACCAAUUGCGAAGGCAGCUGGCUACACAAAUAUUGACACUGAGGCACGAAAGCGUGGGGAUCAAACAGG